UAUGAACAUAAGUUUCUACUACCUGUUUGAAGAUUUAGGCAAUGGGGCACAUAGAUAAUAUCUAAUGACUUGUGACUAACGAUGUGCAUACAGGAGGCAAUUCAGUUGUCAGAAAGUUGAGGUGCAAAUCAAGAUGACAUUUCGAAUGUUCAGUUUUAAAGAUCGUACCAGAAAGUACUUGAUCACCUGUAACGAUGGUCAGCUAUUUGCUAUCCAAUUUAUGGUUUCAGUGUUUUCUUGAUCCAUUGAAGAUACAGAUGGAGUUCUCCAGUUUCAGCGAGUUGUGUACAACAUGUAGUGGAAGUGGUGACCUGGGUUCACUCUCUACUGAAAGCAUCAACUUACCUGUCCCUUUUUCCAUUGAAGUUUUUGGUGCCUACAGAGUUUAGAUGAUUAAACUUGAGGACCAAUAUGAUGCUCAAGCAGCUACAUGUCUGCAUAAUGGCUACAGAUGUUUGGUGCUCAGUUUACCGACAAGAGUUGAUGCAUUUACCGAAACACUAUGUAGAUAGUAGUGCAGUUA